rnacentral:rRNA from 1 species
CAAAUCUGAAUCAAACUAAGAAAUAAGUUAAAACUUUCAACAACGGAUCUCUUGGUUCUGGCAUCGAUGAAGAACGCAGCGAAAUGCGAUAAGUAAUGUGAAUUGCAGAAUUCAGUGAAUCAUCGAAUCUUUGAACGCACAUUGCGCCCAUUAGUAUUCUAGUGGGCAUGCCUGUUCGAGCGUCAUUUCAACCCUUAAGCCUAGCUUAGUGUUGGGAGACUGCCUAAUACGCAGCUCCUCAAAACCAGUGGCGGAGUCUGUUCGUGCUCUGAGCGUAGUAAUUUUUUAUCUCGCUUCUGCAAGCCGGCCAGACGACAGCCAUAAACCGCACCCUCUCGGGGGGCACUUUUUUAAUGGUUGACCUCGGAUCAGGUAGGAAUACCCGCUGAACUUAAGCAUAUCAAUAAGCGGAGGAAAAGAAACCAACAGGGAUUGCCCUAGUAACGGCGAGUGAAGCGGCAACAGCUCAAAUUUGAAAUCUGGCCUUCUGGGUCCGAAUUGUAAUUUGUAGAGGAUGCUUUUUGGUUAGGUACCCUUUUCGAGUUCCUUGGGAACAGGACGCCCUUA